GUGGAUUAGAUACCCUGGUAGUCCACGCUGUAAACGAUGGAUGCGGGGUGUGGGUGACAAUACGGUCAUCCGUGCCGAAGCUAACGCAUUAAGCAUCCCGCCUGGGGAGUACGGUCGCAAGACUAAAACUCAAAGGAAUUGACGGGGGCCUGCACAAGCGGUGGAGUAUGUGGUUUAAUUCGACGCAACGCGCAGAACCUUACCUGGGUUUGACAUCCCGCGACAGCCUUGGAAACAGGGUUGCCCCUUCGGGGGCGCGGAGACAGGUGCUGCAUGGUCGUCGUCAGCU
rnacentral:rRNA from 1 species